GCCUGAAAUCCCAGUACUUGUGAGGGAAACAGAGAAGAACUAGAAGUUCAAGGGCAGACUUCCCUACAUAGUGAAUACAAGCCCAGCCUGGGCUAGUCAGCUAAAAUUCCUUCUCUUGAGCAGACAGACAAAGGCCUAUCCUUGUUCCAGCAGCAAACAGAAGAGUCCUCCAAAGGACACUCUGCGGAGGGAAUGGUGAGUUGAGCUUCCUUCUAUGAUGUAAACAAGGAGUUGCUCACAGAGCCAGGGUGUUCAUCCCCCAAGUUACGCCUAGAAAGCCUUUACCCAGUCGGGAUGAAGACUUCUCCACCCAGCCACCCCACCCACUUAGUCUUCCUAGGUUACAGACUCUACCCCUCCCCUCAGCGAGGCCACUUCUAGUUAUGGAUAAAAUCGCGUACUAGGUAGGGUGGAUACUCAGGUAAGGGUCUCCUGACCUCCCUACCGCUUUAUGAGCAGGUGUGGGUCAACAAGCCCAGCUGUGAUGAUCUUUUGCCAGUAAACAUUACAGAAUGUGGUAAGAUAGAUUUUGUUUGUUUCAGAAGAUAGUCCUGUACAACACCUAUACAAACUGUCUCAAUUCAUUAACAAACGAACUACGGAAGGACAAGGAGAAAUUAAGACUUAAAUCCAUAGAUUUGUAUAAUGUGGGGAAAAAUGGAUUGUGACAUACGGAUACAAUGGAAUGCUAUUCAGCCAUAAGAAGCCUGUUGCUGAUGUGCACAGAAUGAAUGUGUUUCACAGGUGUGGUGCACAAAAGAAGACAACUGGGAGAGAGUUCUCCUGUGUAGAAGAGAUAAACAAUGAGAAGAUAUGCAAAUGAAAGAGAAGAGUCUCUUGGAGAGGAUAGAUGGACAGUUCAUCCGCUCAUUAGACAACAAUUAAGAGCACAGGAGUGUGUGCCCAUGGCGUGGUGAAGAGCCGCUUCCACUUCACUGCAGAUCCCAGUUCUCCUCACAGCUUGAACAUCUAGGGAGUUACCUCAUCAAGACCUUGGGAAUGUCUAUAUCUCUAAGCUCAAAGCAUCCUCUAAAAAUAAGAUUACAACCCCAUUAGUCACAUCAGGCAUAGCAUAGGUCAUAAGUGUUUAUGCUCUAAAACCCUGGUAAGCUUUUAGGACACCAGAAUAGUUUCUGUCAUCCAGUUGAUCCCCACGACCACAAAUUGUUGAGCAUCUAUUAUAUAUUGUAUUGCUGCUUUUAAUCUCUUUGCUUACUUUGGUCCUUACCAAUAAAGAGACAGAGGGUUCAGCUCCUUAGAGUUCU
rnacentral:lncRNA from 1 species